CGGCGAACCAAAAUGGCAUCAAAUCCUGCAUCAGGGUCGCCGGCUUUGGUCAAUUUUGUUUCUUAACUGUGCAACAACAAGGGAAAGCUGAAGGACAAGAAGUAGUGGUCCCGCUUUAUCCUCUCUGAAAUCUAACAGUCUGUGCAAUCUGGUCCCAUGAUGCCAUCCAAUACCAACACAGCCCCUGCCCUGGAAGAAGGAGUUGAGACCCAGAUGGAGAAAACAGCUCAUAAUACGGAGAAGAGAGUCGAGAUGUCUGAUGGAUGGCCCAACAGCACAUUACCCCAUUUGAGGGAAGGACCUUGACUUUGACCCUGACUGGCCAAGUGGCUGACUGCGUAUGCCCAAGCCUUGACUGACUAUACCUGGACCUCCCUGAAUGUAUGUCAGCUCCCUUAAUUUGACCAACAUUCUGGCUUUGUGCCUGUAGUACAUGGCAAAGCAAGGCCAAAGUAACGUGAGCCUGGCUGAGGGCACAGAAUACUAAUCAUCAAGGUAAGGCAGGGAUUCUUGGAGUAUCCAGGUAGACACAAAGUGAGUGAGUGACCAGUCCUGAGAAGCAGCCUGGUCCAGCCUGUAAAUCAGAUCCCCAUGCUGUGUCCUCAUAGCAGUGUUUCCAUGCUCAUUGCCAGAGUGCCAUAAAGUCCAGCCUUAAAGUGCAGAAGCAUCCUGUCUGAGGAUUGGAGAUGUACCAUAAGGGUCCUGAGAGGUUGGUAGCUGUCAAUACCAAUGCCUGUGAAUGUGGGCUGCAUGUGGCAGGUAUCCCAGAAUGUGUCCUGAGAUAUUGGUGCUGAGUGUCUAAGCUAGUGGCCCAGAGGAUCAAACAGCCACCAGGUAGCGUCUCUGACUCUCAUUUCAUGCAUUGUUGACAUCUGUUUUCCCUGGGUUGAGCGAUAGGAUGACAAACUGCGUAUUAAAUCAGUGAGAUUUACAGUUAAUGUAGCUGAUGAUGAGCAAUAAUCACCAUUAAUAGUCAUCUUGUUGCUCAAUAGUGACAAUCUCAUCUCACCACCCGGAGCUCUGUUUGAAAAUGCAACAGGCUGUCCCAGUGUUGAGAAAGGCCUCACUCAAAUUCUCACAGACCUCCCCCAGAUUUCUGACUAUAGCCCACAUCGUUAAGGCCCCUGUAAGAUUCCACACCAUAUUCCAAAACGGAUGUGGAGAAACUGUUGAAAAGAUUUAUCCGGGGCUACUAGAGCUGAGAGGUUAUAACUUUCAGGAAAAAAACUGAACAGGAUGAGGCUUUGUGCUCUAAGUGAAAGCUGAGGCUGAUCUGAGCGAUCUUUCAGAUAAUGAAGCGUUUAAUUGAUGCAAAGAAAAUGUUUUGAUAUA